GACGAACGCUGGCGGCGUGCCUAAUACAUGCAAGUUGAGCGAUGAAGAUUGGUGCUUGCACCAAUUUGAAGAGCAGCGAACGGGUGAGUAACGCGUGGGGAAUCUGCCUUUGAGCGGGGGACAACAUUUGGAAACGAAUGCUAAUACCGCAUAAUAACUUUAAACAUAAGUUUUAAGUUUGAAAGAUGCAAUUGCAUCACUCAAAGAUGAUCCCGCGUUGUAUUAGCUAGUUGGUGAGGUAAAGGCUCACCAAGGCGAUGAUACAUAGCCGACCUGAGAGGGUGAUCGGCCACAUUGGGACUGAGACACGGCCCAAACGCCUACGGGAGGCAGCAGUAGGGAAUCUUCGGCAAUGGACGAAAGUCUGACCGAGCAACGCCGCGUGAGUGAAGAAGGUUUUCGGAUCGUAAAACUCUGUUGGUAGAGAAGAACGUUGGUGAGAGUGGAAAGCUCAUCAAGUGACGGUAACUACCCAGAAAGGGACGGCUAACUACGUG
rnacentral:rRNA from 1 species